UGGAUCACCUCCUAACAGGGAGACAACACAAUGAUUUUGAUGCCUGAGUACUUUUAUUCUUAGGCCGAAAUCCUGUCACCUUAGGUCGAUCGGUACCUCAGCUUUGAAGUCAAGGAUCAGCAGCAAUGUUGAUUGCUUGAUGGAGAUUUUUAGUUCCUAAACUUUGUCUAGGUCACACCCCAAAAGGGAUGAGACUCCUGGGCCAUUAGCUCAGGUGGUUAGAGCGCACCCCUGAUAAGGGUGAGGUCCCUGGUUCAAGUCCAGGAUGGCCCAUUCGGUGUUGGGGGUUUAGCUCAGUUGGUAGAGCGCCUGCUUUGCAAGCAGGAUGUCAGGAGUUCGAGUCUCCUAACCUCCACUGACCGAACUUGAUUCCCAUCUCCAAUUUUUUGGAGUUGAGCUCGAUUGGAGUGUGAUUUAGAUGUGUCCGCUGGAUGACCCCAGCUUCCUGUCAUUCCAAGUUUUAGAUUUUAAGUCUUAAUUUGGUUGAUAAGAUGCUGGGCUCGGAUCAAGUAAUCAAGCAAUUGAUGAUUUGAUUUGAAGUUCUAGCAGAACCUUGACAACUGCAUAGGUGAAGUCUGGAAAAACAAAGCAUCUUACAGAUGCAUUGUUUUGAAUCUGAUCUUCUGAAAGGGAGAUUGGAUCUAGAACAAUGAAAAUUCUUUUGAGCAAGAGCCGAGACUCUUAAAUGUUCUUUGAUUCGUGUCGAGCGAAUCAGAGUUUGAUCUUGUUUUUAGCAAUAAAAACUUGAGAAUCUGCUUUCAACGGCGGUAAGCAUUUAAGAGGUUAAUUGGUCAAGCUACAAAGGGCUCACGGCGGAUACCUUGGCACACAGAGGCGAUGAAGG
rnacentral:tRNA from 1 species